rnacentral:misc_RNA from 1 species
AUCAAUGGUAGGUUUCAUAUUGAAAUUGAAUUGUAUAAUGAAGAACUACUUAAUUUGCAUUCUAAAGCGUUGGAGCAAUAGACAGAUUGAGCCGAUUCAAACUACAAUCCAUGGAAAGUAGAUGAUCUUCGCCUAGUUGUUCAAUGAUCAAAGGUAAAUGGCCAUUGUUUGAAGCAAAUCCUUCAAAGCCAGAGAAUUUGAUCGAACUCAUGCUGUCAUUAUUUUAUUGCACCAAAUCUUGAAGACAAAGCCUUGGCCAAUUAUGUGACCCUCCUA